GAGUUUGAUCAUGGCUCAGAGUGAACGCUGGCGGCGUGCUUAACACAUGCAAGUCGAACGAGAAACGGUCUAGCUUGCUAGAUGCAGUCUAAGUGGCGCACGGGUGAGUAAUAUAUAGGUAAUAUGCCUCUUACUAAGGGAUAACAGAUUGAAACGUCUGCUAAUACCUUAUAUGCCUUUAGGACUAAAGUCCGCAAGGGAAAGAUUUAUCGGUAAGAGAUUAGCCUGUACAGUAUCAGUUAGUUGGUGAGGUAAUGGCUCACCAAGACUGUGACACUUAACUGGUUUGAGAGGAUGAUCAGUCACACCGGAACUGAGACACGGUCCAGACUCCUACGGGAGGCAGCAGUGGGGAAUAUUGCACAAUGGACGGAAGUCUGAUGCAGCAACGCCGCGUGGAGGAUGACACAUUUCGGUGCGUAAACUCCUUUUAUAUAGGAAGAUAAUGACGGUACUAUAUGAAUAAGCACCGGCUAACUCCGUGCCAGCAGCCGCGGUAAU
rnacentral:rRNA from 1 species